GUGGCUGUAGCUCAAUUGGCAGAGCACUGGACUGUGGAUCCAGUCGUUGCGGGUUCAAGCCCCGUCAGCCACC
rnacentral:tRNA from 1 species